GCUCUUGCAUCGAUGAAGAACGUAGCGAAAUGCGAUACUUGGUGUGAAUUGCAGAAUCCCGUGAACCAUCGAGUCUUUGAACGCAAGUUGCGCCCGAAGCCAUUAGGCCGAGGGCACGCCUGCCUGGGUGUUGCACAUCGUUGCCCCCGUGCCCUGGCCAYGU
rnacentral:rRNA from 1 species